AGAUCAAUUCCCAGCAACCGCAU
rnacentral:piRNA from 1 species